CUCCUUUCCUAUGGAUCUGGACGUGAAGAUCAAAGCUGCUCUUUUUGGAGCCUGUUUUCUCAUAGACUUCAUGUUCUUUGAACACAGUAAAUAAAUGUAUUUUCUGGAUGUCAUUAUUUCAGGUUGAAUUUUGAACUCCUUACUCUGAAUAUGUUAACCAUGGAUUCAAAUGUGGAUCACUCAGCUAAAAAUUAUAUUACAUAUAUUACUAUGUACAUUAAAUUACAGAGUAUAUUCAUUCACUACUGCUCAUGAGCCACCACUAGGUGACAGCAGUUCCCUUUACAAUAAUACUGAGAUGCUUUCCGUAUCAACAAAGUACCUGCUCUAAAUGUAUUGGCAAAAAAUUAACUACAAACUAUUAAAGAGACUUUUUUAUACACAGUCUAAACAAACUUGUAACAAGCAAAAUGUUGAUUGCUUAAUUUUGCUCCAUAUUUGUUU